GACAGAGGUGCCGAGCGUUAGGCGGAAUCACUGGGCUUAAAGCGUGUGUAGGCGGGUCGUUAAGUGUCUUGUGAAAUCCCACCGCUCAACGGUGGAACCGCUGGGCAUACUGGCGAUCUUGAGCAGUCCAGGGGCGAGCGGAACAAGCGGUGGAGCGGUGAAAUGCGUAGAUAUCGAGAGGAACACCGGUGGCGAAGGCGGCCUUCUGGACAGUGACUGACGCUGAGACGCGAAAGCGUGGGGAGCAAACAGG
rnacentral:rRNA from 1 species